rnacentral:tRNA from 1 species
GAGGGUAUAGUUCAAGUGGUAGAGCGCAUGCUUAGCAAGCACAAGGUUCUGGGUUCAAUCCCCAGUACCUCCA